UACAGAGGUCCCGAGCGUUGUUCGGAUUCACUGGGCGUAAAGGGUGCGUAGGUGGUGAGGUAAGUCGGAUGUGAAAUCUCCGAGCUCAACUCGGAAAUGGCAUUGGAAACUACCUUGCUAGAGGGUUGGAGGGGGGACUGGAAUGCUUGGUGUAGCAGUGAAAUGCGUAGAUAUCAAGCGGAACACCAGUGGCGAAGGCGAGUCCCUGGACAACUCCUGACACUGAGGCACGAAAGCUAGGGGAGCAAACAGG
rnacentral:rRNA from 1 species